AGUGAACGCUGGCGGUAGGCCUAACACAUGCAAGUCGAACGGCAGCACAGUAAGAGCUUGCUCUUACGGGUGGCGAGUGGCGGACGGGUGAGGAAUACAUCGGAAUCUACUUUUUCGUGGGGGAUAACGUAGGGAAACUUACGCUAAUACCGCAUACGACCUACGGGUGAAAGCAGGGGAUCUUCGGACCUUGCGCGAUUGAAUGAGCCGAUGUCGGAUUAGCUAGUUUGCGGGGUAAAGGCCCACCAAGGCGACGACCCGUAGCUGGUCUGAGAGGAUGAUCAGCCACACUGGAACUGAGACACGGUCCAGACUCCUACGGGAGGCAGCAGUGGGGAAUAUUGGACAAUGGGCGCAAGCCUGAUCCAGCCAUACCGCGUGGGUGAAGAAGGCCUUCGGGUUGUAAAGCCCUUUUGUUGGGAAAGAAAAGCAGCAGGUUAAUACCCCGCUGUUCUGACGGUACCCAAAGAAUAAGCACCGGCUAACUUCGUG
rnacentral:rRNA from 1 species